UACGUAGGGUCCGAGCGUUGUCCGGAAUUAUUGGGCGUAAAGGGCUCGUAGGCGGUUUGUCGCGUCGGGAGUGAAACUCAGGGCUCAACCCUGAGCGUGCUUCCGAUACGGGCAGACUAGAGGUAGGCAGGGGAGAGCGGAACUCCUGGUGUAGCGGUGGAAUGCGCAGAUAUCAGGAAGAACACCGGUGGCGAAGGCGGCUCUCGUGGCCUUACCUGACGCUGAGGAGCGAAAGCGUGGGUAGCGAACAGG
rnacentral:rRNA from 1 species